GGCGCUGUAGCCAAGUGGUUACGGCGACAGUUUCGAAUCGGGAUUCUUUCCCGCCUUAGCUGUUCCUCUUUGAGGGCGCAAGUUCGAAUCUUGCCGGCGUCG